rnacentral:rRNA from 1 species
CCUACGGGAGGCAGCAGUGGGGGAUAUUGCACAAUGGGGGAAACCCUGAUGCAGCGACGCCGCGUGUGGGAAGACGGUCCUCUGGAUUGUAAACCACUGUCCCCAGGGACGAAGAUGACGGUACCUGGGGAGGAAGCUCCGGCUAACUACGUGCCAGCAGCCGCGGUAAUACGUAGGGGGCGAGCGUUGUCCGGAAUUACUGGGUCUAAAGGGCGCGUAGGCGGGGAUUGAAGUUGGGUGUCAAAACUACCGGCUCAACUGGUAGUCGCACUCAAAACUGCAGCUCUGGAGUGAAGUAGAGGCAGGUGGAAUUCCUAGUGUAGCGGUGAAAUGCGUAGAUAGUAGGAGGAACACCAGUGGCGAAGGCGGCCUGCUGGGCUUUUACUGACGCUGAGGCUCGAAAGUGUGGGGAGCAAACAGGAUUAGAUACCCUUGUAGUC